rnacentral:rRNA from 1 species
AUGAAGCAUCCACGAGAUCCAUCGACUACGGGACUGCUCAGCGACUGGAAGUACAAUGAUAGAAUCGACAUAAUAUGGAAGGGCAAGGUGCAGAAAUUCCGAAGAGCGAUCCGGUUAUUAGCCGGCAUUGAUUUAUCAGACAAUUUGCUAUCACAAUGCAUCCCCGAAGAGUUAACCAACCUUCAAGGCCUUCGGUUCCUAAACCUUUCAAGAAACCAUAUGUCGUGCCGCAUUCCGCAAGGCAUUGGUAGCCUCUCUUUUCUUGAGAUCCUUGAUCUAUCAUCUAAUCAACUUUUUGGAAACAUUCCUCAAAGCAUCACACGAUUAUCAGGGCUCAACACGUUAAAUGUCUCGAACAAUCUUUUGUCGGGCAAGAUACCCACCGGGAAUCAGAUUCAGACCCUGACUGACCCAUCAAUUUACUCCAACAAUUCUGGGCUCUGUGGAUUUCCUCUAAACAUUUCAUGUACGAAUAUUUCGCUUGCACCGGAUGAGAGAAAUGGUGAAGAGGAGGACCACUGGAUGUACUACUGUGUGAUUGCUGGGAUUGUGUCUGGUCUCUGGUUGUGGUUUGGGAUGCUCUUUACAAUUAAGUCCUGGAGAUGUGGUUUUCUUUCCUUUGUUGAUGGCAUGCAAUGUAAAAUUAUGAAAAAGUUGUGA